rnacentral:rRNA from 1 species
CCCUAUGGGGUGCACCUGCAACUACCAGAUCGAAACAUCUUAUGCGCUCAGAACCAUGCCGGAAGUCGCGCAGUGGAACAAGUCCGAACCUGUCGUGAUGGCGCCGCCAGUGGACAAAAGCGUGACUGCGACCGCUUCGAAUCGGAUUCCGCUGGCAGGCAAAUGGCGUGCUAAACUUGUGAAUAAACUGCCAUACGCAACGGAUAUGAAUCAGGCUCAUCCCGACAAUGGAAUCAGCGAUGACGCUAAAAAAUAUGUCGCCGAAAACUCCGACGACAAGUCCUGGAAAGAAGUUGAUGUUCCAUCAAAGUUCGAAGAUUAUAAGGGCGAAUGGGCGGAUGCCGACGGCGAGGCAGUCUUCAGAAAAACAGUCGAAAUACCUCCUGAAUUGGCGGGGGAGC